rnacentral:sRNA from 1 species
AGAGUUGAGAUGGAAACAGCCGGAAAGGUAAUUUUACGCCCUUAA